rnacentral:rRNA from 1 species
UACGAAGGGGGCUAGCGUUGCUCGGAAUCACUGGGCGUAAAGGGUGCGUAGGCGGUUUGGUAAGUCUUAUGUGAAAUCUACAGGCUCAACUUGUAGUCUGCAUGAGAAAUUGCCGGGCUUGAGUAUGGGAGAGGUGAGUGGAAUUCCUGGUGUAGCGGUGAAAUGCGUAGAUAUCGGGAGGAACACCUGUGGCGAAAGCGGCUCACUGGACCACAACUGACGCUGAGGCGCGAAAGCUAGGGGAGCAAACAGG